CCUACGGGAGGCAGCAGUAAGGAAUAUUCGUCAAUGGACGAGAGUCUGAACCAGCCAAGUAGCGUGAAGGAUGACUGCCCUAUGGGUUGUAAACUUCUUUUAUAAAGGAAUACAACGAGGCACGUGUGCCUUUUUGCAUGUACUGUAUGUAUCAGGAUCGGCUAACUCCGUGCCAGCAGCCGCGGUAAUACGGAGGAUCCGAGCGUUAUCCGGAUUGAUUGGGUUUAAAGGGAGCGUAGGUGGGUUGUUAAGUCAGUUGUGAAAGUUUGCGGCUCAACCGGAGAAGUGCAAUUGAUACUGGGAGACUUGAGUACAGUAGAGGUAGGCGGAAUUCGAGGUGUAGCGGUGAAAUGCGUAGAUAUCACGAAGAACCCCGAUUGCGAAGGCAGCUUACUAAACUGUGACUGACAUUGAGGCUCGAAAGUGUGGGUAUCAAACAGGAUUAGAUACCCCUGUAGUC
rnacentral:rRNA from 1 species